GGUGACAAGAGAGCACUAUUUCUUCCAUCUCUCAACCAUCCCCAAUCCCAAGGCAACUCAUGGAUGUGUAGAUGCUCCUGCAUUUAUCCCCUUUCCCUCCAUAACAAUAAUUUAAACUUGAACAUAACAUCUCAAAAUACAUUCAAACAUCUAAAAGGAGAGAUCAAGUUCAGACAAGCUAAACAAAUUUUCUACAUAAAGCACAUUAAACAUCCAACUAAUUGUUGGAACUGACUAGAUAUUGUACAAAAAACAUAGGAUUCUCAGCAAUGAACUAAUAAUGCAGUGCUAAAAGAUUUUGAUACAACGAGGAACUAUUUAUGUUGGAACAAGAUAUUGACCUCCUCCUUUCUGACCAUCAAUUAACAUAGUCAACAUUAAUGAGGUAAAAACAGCAAGAAGAGCAAAAGACAGGCCAACAAUCAACCCAUAAGAAUUCUUUCGAUGGCCCUUUCUGUUGGGAAACCUUGGAGUAUCAUCUUUAUUUGCAUUUACCACUUCAGUAGACACUUGCACGUCGCUAUCAACAA
rnacentral:misc_RNA from 1 species